GGAUGCUCGUGGUGGUGGCCUGGGCGCCCGUGGGUGCCUCUCGCCCGGUUUGGAUGCUCGUGGUGGUGGCGGUGGCUCAGGUGCCCAUGGCGGUGGCCAUGGCAGUGAGUUGGGUGCUCGUGGCCAUGGUUCAGGCAGCCAUAGGUGCUUCUCACCCGGUUUGAACGCUCAUGGCCAUGAUGAUGGCCAUGGAGGUGGCUUGGGCACCCAUGGCCAUGGUGGUGACCAAGACAGUGGCCCAAGUGCUCAUGGUGGUGGCUUGAGCGCUCAUGACCAUGAUUCAGGCGCCCGUAGGUGCUUUUCGUCCAGUUUGGCCGCUUAUGGUCAUGGUAAUGGUCAUGAAGGUGACUUGGGUGCUCAUGACGAUGGCCUUGUCGGUGGCUUGGGUGCUCGUGGCCAUGGCUUGGGCGCUCGUGGUGGUGGCCAUGGCAGUGGCUCAGGCGCCCGUAGGUGCUUCUCACCCAGUUUGGCCGCUCGUGGUCACAGCGAUGGCCAUGGAGGUGGUUUGGGCCCUCAUGGCCAUGACGGUGACCAAGACGGUGGCCCAAGUUCUCGUGGUGGUUGUUUGAGCGCUCACGACCAUGGCUCGGGCACCCGUAGGUGCUUUUUAUCCAAUUUGGCCACUCAUGGCCAUGGCGAUGGCCAUGGAGGUGGCUUGGGCGCUCGUGGUGGUGGCCAUGGUAGUGGCUCAGGCGCCCGUAGGUGCUUCUCAUCCAGUUUGGCCGUUCAUGGCCGUGACGAUGACCAUGGAGGUGGCUGGGGCACUCAUGGACACGGUGGUGACCAAGACAGUGGCCCAAGUUCUCGUGGUGGUUGCUUGAGCGCUGAUGACCACAGCUCGGGCACCUGUAGGUGCUUUUCAUCCAGUUUGGCCGCUCAUGGCCAUGACGAUGGUCUUGUUGGUGGCUUGGGUGCUCAUGGUGGUGGCCAUGGCAGUGGCUCAGGCGCCCGUAGGUGCUUCUCACCCAGUUGGGCCACUCAUGGUCACGACGAUGGUCAUGGAGGUGGCUUGGGUGCUCAUGGCGGUGGCCAUGGCAGUGGCUCAGGCGCCCGUAGGUGCUUCUCACCCAGUUUGGCUGCUCAUAGCCACGACGAUGGCCAUGGAGGUGGCUUGGGUGCUCAUGGCGAUGGCCAUGGAGGUGGCUUGGGUGCUCAUGACGAUGGCCAUGGAGGUGGCUUGGGUGCUCGUGGUGGUGGCCGGGGCACCCAUGGGUGCUCUUUGCCCGCAGCUACAAGUUGUGGUACAACUACCUGAAGCAGCGGCGGAAGCAGGUGAAGCACAAGUGCGUGAGCGACCCGGCCUACGAGGAGGUGAACAACUGCCACGAGCGCGCCCUCGUCUUCAUGCACAAGUUCGUGCGCCGGCACCCGCUGCCCGAGACCGCCGUGCGCGUCUACCGCCGCUACCUGAAGCUGAGCCCGGAGAACGCGGAGGAGUACAUCGAGUACCUGCGCUCCAUCGACCGCCUGGACGAGGCCGCCGUGCGCCUGGCCGUGGUCGUUAACGACGAGAGGUUCGUCUCCAAGGAGGGCAAGUCGAAUUACCAGCUGUGGCACGAGCUGUGCGACCUCAUCUCGCAGCACCCCGACAAG
rnacentral:lncRNA from 1 species